CCUACGGGAGGCAGCAGUGGGGGAUAUUGCACAAUGGGGGGAACCCUGAUGCAGCGACGCCGCGUGGGUGAAGAAGCGCCUCGGCGCGUAAAGCCCUGUCAGCAGGGAAGAAAAUGACGGUACCUGAAGAAGAAGCCCCGGCUAACUACGUGCCAGCAGCCGCGGUAAUACGUAGGGGGCAAGCGUUAUCCGGAUUUACUGGGUGUAAAGGGGGCGCAGACGGCGAUGCAGGCCAGGAGUGAGAGCCGGGGGCCGAACCCGGGGACUGCGCUUGGAACUGCGUGGCGGGAGGGCAGGAGGGGGAGGGGGGAGGCCUGGUGUAGCGGUGAAAUGCGUAGAUAUCAGGAGGAACACCGGUGGCGAAGGCGGCCUGCUGGACUGCAACUGACGUUGAGGCCCGAAAGCGUGGGGAGCAAACAGGAUUAGAUACCCCGGUAGUC
rnacentral:rRNA from 1 species